rnacentral:rRNA from 1 species
UACGAAGGGUGCAAGCGUUACUCGGAAUUACUGGGCGUAAAGCGUGCGUAGGUGGUUCGUUAAGUCUGAUGUGAAAGCCCUGGGCUCAACCUGGGAAUGGCAUUGGAAACUGGCGACCUAGAGUGCGGGUAGAGGGCAGUGGAAUUCCCGGUGUAGCAGUGAAAUGCGUAGAGAUCGGGGAGGAACAUCUGUGGCGAAGGCGACUGCCUGGACCAGCACUGACACUGAGGCACGAAAGCGUGGGGAGCAAACAGG